GGGAUAGUAGUUUAAUGGCUAGGGCACCAGCCUUCCAAGCUGGGGACGGGGGUUCGAUUCCCCUCUAUCCCUCCA
rnacentral:tRNA from 1 species